GUUUUAAGUUUUAAUCGGGGCGGCCCCGAAUCGCAUUCAAAUAGACAUCAGAGUUGUUUAAAACGGGAGCGCGGUCACUACAACCGCCCUCCCAAAGGUUCACAGGUGUGUGGGGUUUGGAGGGGGGAGCGGGAACCCGACCGCAGCACGGCGUCGCCGCCGGUGCGGGCCGAAGCCCUCUCCCCCGCGAAGUUUCAAUAAUGAUCCUUCCGCAGGUUCACCUACGGAAA
rnacentral:misc_RNA from 1 species